AUCCUCCUCCUUCUCCGCUUGUGCCUCCGCCGGAUCUGAGAAGAUCGUCGAGAUCUGAAUUAGAUUUGAGUCCCAGGCCAAGAUUUGACCGUCGUGAGCGAUCCACACAUAUCUAUCGGCGGCAGUGAAGACGGAGAGACCAUGCCUAACGGUUGAGAUCUGAAUCAGAAUUCGAUUUCGCGAUCUAAAAAUCUCUUAAGCACUCAGAUGUCAGUGAUUUCUGCUCCAAUCAACACCUCUUUCUAAGAUCUGAGUCAGAUUCGAUGGCGGCGAAGAAUGCUGGGAUUCGCUGAUAAAACCACGAUUUCGACAAAGAAGAACAAGUGUUCAAUCAAUCAUCAGCGGGAAAAAAGGGGCUUCAUUUGAGUUGGGUUUAUCAGAUCAUCAUCAUCC